rnacentral:snRNA from 1 species
GGAUGUGAGCAAUCUGGCUGCAACACCUGUCACUCCAUUGAUCACCAGGGUUGAUUUGGCUGAUCUGGCUGAUCUGGUCUCCAGUCUCUGGUCCCAGGCAUACAAUAGCUGUGCUCCUGCUAGAACCUCCAAACAAGCUCAUGGUCCAUUUUUAGGAGAACGUAGGGUAUGUUAAAUAUUAGUAUUAAUUAAUUAUACCAUCAAAUGAUUUUAA